UACGAAGGGGGCUAGCGUUGCUCGGAAUGACUGGGCGUAAAGGGCGCGUAGGCGGAUGGCACAGUCAGAUGUGAAAUUCCCGGGCUUAACCUGGGGGCUGCAUUUGAUACGUGUUGUCUUGAGUUCGGAAGAGGCGAGUGGAAUUCCUGGUGUAGCGGUGAAAUGCGCAGAUAUCAGGAGGAACACCAAUGGCGAAGGCAGCUCGCUGGGACGGUACUGACGCUGAGACGCGAAAGCGUGGGGAGCAAACAGG
rnacentral:rRNA from 1 species